rnacentral:tRNA from 1 species
UUCUGUGUUCUGUAUUAGCUCUCCAGGUGGUUCUGAUACAUACCAAAAUUUCGGAAUUAUUUACUUAAAGAAUAACAGUUCUGAAUCAUGGGAAGGAAGACACAAGAAAUUGCCGGGCACAAAGUCCACAGACAAUUCUUCCCUACUUUGAUUUAAUAUCUUCGAGUCGAGGACUCUUCCUUAGGUAUUCGGGAUCACAUUUUUGAGACACGGUACAAGUGGGAUUAAUAUAUUUCAAUGAGAGUGGCACAAAAUUAGCAAAUAUUUUCUAUUGUUAAGAGAGCUCUACCUUUUGAGCUAAUUCCCAGCAUGAAUAGAAAAUCCUAUCCACUUUUUCCUUUGUUUUAUUUUUUCUCCUCAAAUUUUUGUUUCUCUUCUAGCGGUGAUUCUCAAAACUUGCAGCACGUUAAAAUCACCUGGGAGCUUUUAAAUCUACCAAUGCCUGGGUCCCAUCCAAAGUGGCCCAAACGUAACUGCCUUGUAAAAUCUUUCCAGGUGAUUCGGAUAACCACCAACUUUUCUCAGCCAGGGUUCAGAGCCACUGCUAAUUAAUUAAACGGAGAAUCACGAGCAGUGCCGCUGAAUUUUAUCUCGCCCCCCAGGUGGUGGGCAGCUGCAUCCCUUGAAAAAGAACCUUCCCAAAGAUAAGGAGACUAAGCCCACCAGGGGGCGCGCGUGCCCCACCAAUUACCCCCAGGUCCGCUUCAUUCCUACCAGCCCGCCCCUCUCCCUGGGUCCGGAUUCCCUAGUGGUGGGGCGAAGACUCAUCUCUGGACCCCUAGCCCAGGGGGCCCGCCUCUGAUCCGCCUCUUCUGGGCUCAGGACUUCUCUGCGGCCACAUCUGUAUGUGAACUAUGGGGCUGAAGUCUGAUCGCGUGUAUUAAUAAUUGUUGCGGAGAAUAAUAAUUUGAAAAAUUAGACUUGCUGCGCAACAAGAAUAAUGUUAAAUAGAUGCACACCGAGGAAAUGUAUAACUGAGAUGACUUUUUGAGGGUGGGCAUGAAAAACAACGCAAAAAGUGAACUCCUUCGAGCCGGACUCGAACCAGCGACCUAAGGAUGCCUGGGAGCUUUACACUACAGUCCUCCGCUCUACCAACUGAGCUAUCGAAGGAAUCACACUCUUUCGCUUACCCGCCGAGGAUGCCAUCUCUGCAUAAGGUUGGGAGACCGUAGGCGUUUGCUGCUUCAUUUGCUAGCGUUGCUGACGAGUUUGCUCUAGCCGCUUCCGUGUUUUUGUUGUAAGCCAGCACCCCUUUGGAACUAACACUCAAAGGUCCCCUGCCCUGGACCAAGAAGAAAACGGGAGCACGCACUGAUUUGCAAAAACGGAAAAUAAAAUGAUAAGGAGACACAAGAAGUGAUAACGACUUGGCGAUGAAUGUCUUUUAUUGUGAUGAGUGAAUUUAAAUAACCAAUUUUGACUGGACUUAUAAACAGGCUUUGAAGAACUUUAAUCUGCAAUUUUAAGAGGAUAAUUAACAAAGGAGAAGGAGGAGGAAGAAGAAAGCAAGCAUAGGUUUCUACAGCUACCACCUCAUUUGGACCCUCCCCACCUUCUGACUGGACUGCUGCAAUCACCUUGUAACGGAUCCCCUUGUCCAGAUUUGUCCUUUCUGUUCUGUUCUCCACACAAGCGUCGAAAGGUCUUACUGAGAGGAGUGUGAGGCCCACGAGAUUACCACCACUAAAAGAAGUCCUUGCUUCCUGCCACUCUCCCUACAGGCCCUUUAGUGUGAAAGAAAAUAAUUGGGUCCCCUCCGAAAUGAAAAUUCAUUCACAGGAAGGAAUGUGAACCCUCUUAUCAAAGGUCUGAUCUACCACCAGAACCAUCCAGUUUACGACGAAUUUGAUUUCACGAAGUCUGGCAAGCACCAGUCUUUGUGAUAGUGGAUUGGGGUUCAUACUUACAUGACUUUAUGUGUGAUCCUACACCCGCCUUAAGAGACAGGAUCCAUGACUUCCUUCAUUUUCUCUGGCUCCACAGUAUGAAAGAUUCAGAUAGAGACAGACAGACAUGCCUAGGGAGCCUUGAGAAGGGGAGGAGUGGGGACAGGCGGUAGAUUGGAGGGAUUCUGAGGGUGUGUGUCAAUCACUUGUAUCCUUGUAGGUCAGGAAUCGUAUCUGAUUCUUCCACAUAUAGCUAGAAUUCUAUGUAUUUUCAAAAUAAACUAGAACUCUGUGAAAACGGGAAGAAGCAAGAAAGAUUUUAUGUCCCUAUUUUUAUCUGCUUCAAAAGCAUUCCCAGAUGCAGGUAGGAGAUGAAUUUCGAGUCCUCCUCCCUACCCCUCUCCCAACCCGGCGAGAGAGAAGAGAAUCAGCCCUGCGUGUUCUGAACACAGCGGCGGUGCCGGAAGCCGAGGCCGCAGCAAAGGUUUACUGUGCGCCUGCUGCGGGCUGGGGGCGGAAGCUCUGCGUUCUUUGUGAUCUGGUGGUUCCUGAGGGUGAGGAAACCGGAGUACUGACCUCCACGUGUCCGGCAGGACUUGGCUCAAACAGGAGAACCCACACAGUGUUUUGAAAGGCUUUCAUCUGGACCCCAUCUUUGGGUAAGUUAGAGUGGAAAUUUCGAGAAUACACCAUAUGAAGCAUAAGAGUAACAAUUUAAUCCUUAAAACAACAGGUAGCAAACAAUGCCACAGUUAAGUAGAUGGAAUUUAGACUACCUGAGUGAUCAGAUUUGGGUGAGAUUCAUU